UCUAGCUUGUUAGCUUGUAUGCCAACUCCAGUGUUUAGCUUUGUCUUUCUGGCUACUGAUUAGCAAAAUUGUCUUUCAAGUGACAGGGCACUUAUAAUGUUAGUUUGUGUUAAGUACACUCUGAAGUGGCUGAAUUGGUUUUAAACAAUUCUAAAAAAAUUACGUUACUCAUGCUUUAGAAAGGCAGCAUGGCAAAAAUGUUGCACCAAGUAAUGAUUACCUAGUAACUCUGUCUACUGCGAUGUGAGGAAUUUUGUGUGUUACUUGCAGUACUACACUUAAAAAAAUCAACUAGGGCUUGUGUUUGAUUAGCAAACUAAUACUAUGCUUACAUUACAUGAAUAAAUCAUGAUAUGUCCAUUAAAUACUUCAUUCUUGUUUGUUGUACAUGACUCAAAGAAAGUUCUGAUGGUUUAAAUUCAUUCAUGGCAAUCCAAUGAGAAUGAGGUCCAUCAAACCAGUGACUCUGAUACCUUCAGCUAUUGCGCAUGCUCCACAACACGCCCACUGGAUGCGAUAAAGUCCGUUGAGAGUUAAAGAGCACCGGCCGAGCAGAGUGAAUCCUCUGGAAAGCUUGAUAGUGAGAAUAAGCUUUACAGAAGAUCAAGCAGUCCGAAGUCCAGCACAUUCCUUUUCAAGCUGCUCAGCAGACAUGGAUAAUACGCCAUCUACAAGACUGUCAGUGUGGCCAAGUGUCUUCCCAGUCCCUCGUUUCAGCUAUGAGGCUGAACUGCAACUUGAAAAGGCCAAUGCUGAUUUGUGCUGGUGGAACUCAUUUGACGCACUCACCAAAACUGAACUCCCACCUUUCAGAAAGACUGGCUGAAGAAAUAAUCAAAUUGAAAGUCUAUCUAACUGACAAUGACCUAAAUGAAGUUGCAGAAGCCCUUGUGAAAAAGCAUCCUCGUCUGAGGGAGCAGGGAUCCUUCAAUGGCUGUUAUGGCUGGAAGAUUAGCCUCAAGUAUAAAAUGGCCAAUGUCCGGACAAAACUCAGAGGCCUGGGCUGUGCUGAGGUGAUGGUAAAUUCACUAAAGAACAAGGUCCAAGACAAAAGUCAGGCAGCGCUGAAUGUGAAAAAGCCUAGAAGGGCAGAAGUCAAUAACUGUCUGCAGCAUCCAAAAGGAGAAACCACUGACUGUGUGAAUGAAUACAUAAGCAACACUGGCCAACACUGAAGCCAUGGAGCAAACUGUGACGGGAGUGUAUGUCAUAGAGCAGGAGGGUGCACAGCCUGGAGAUAACCAUGAGGACAUUGGUGUCCUGAUUGAAGGUGUGGAGGUUUUCACUUGUUUGGGAAGCAUCGUGGUUGCUUGUUCUCAGUUAUUCCGACUGAUAUACUGUUUGAACCUAAGCUACCCAACAGAGCUCAAAUGCACUUUUCAAUUCCUACAAAAGAUUCUCAUGAGCAUGGAUGGCAGAGGUUGUCAUCCAAGGCACAGUUCCUCAAAAACAAGCUGAAAACAGACUCAUGGAAGCCAGGUAUUUUUCCAUAGCAGCAAUGCAGAUUUCUUUGUGUUUGACUUUGAAAGUUCAAAGUUAGAAUUUGUUCUGGACUAUUUGGUUUGCUCAGUAGACUUGAAACUGAAUUGUUGCCUCAUAAGUUAAAGUCUCAUACACUUACAUUAUACACACAGAAUUUACCACAUGGACAAUUGUUACAAAGGCAGCUGUACACACUGGUUUUCAAAAAAUGUGGAGCAGUCAUACGCGAACAUGAACACACAUUGAAUUAUUUCUCCACAUAAAUAGAAUAAAGUAAAAAAUAAUGGAUAUAGCCUACUUAAUGGAGCACUUAUUUACAAAGAUUUGACAUUUUCUCAUGUUAUCAAAAAGUGUGCUAGCAACAUUACAGUAAUGUUUAAUUACUUUUGAUUUAUUUUUUGAAAUGCACAUGUCAUUGCAUUGAAGUGCAAUGUUAUAACAGUGUUUAAAAUGGUGUUAAAAUGCAUAAUGUUGGUUCCAUGGCAUAUUUUAUUGCAGUUUCACAAAUAUGUUUUUAAGUUGAAUUGUUGGACGUAGAAUUUUAGAACUUGUUAUGCACAAAUCUCAAAAGAUUGCUUUAGGGCUAUUAUUUUUUGUUGGCAAAAUAGUCUACAUUUGUUCAAUUUUAAACCUUAUAUGUCAGAUGUGCCCACAUUCUGAAGGACUGUUUGUGAAUUGUUUUAUUUCCAACACAUUUCCACAAUAUGGCAGUGUUUACAUGAUGAUGAUAGUGUAGAUUGUGUAGUUUGGUCCAGAGGAAUUCAGCAUGUCUUCAUUGUUCUAGAAGUUCUGUAGGUCAUGCAUUGCUGUGAAUGAAAAAUUCUACAUGUGCCUGUUAUUUACUCUGCUCAUAUCAGCUCAGUUUGAAGGAAUCAAGGAAGUUACUGAGCACAGUGGGUUGGUGCUAAUAGGUUUAGCAUGGGAUGGUUAAAGGGGAAAAAGCUGGGCUGUUCAGGGAUCUUGGCAAUUGUUUUAAGAAUGUUGGAACGAAAUAAA